UAGAGUGGCAUUAUGUAACUGGAAAAUAUCUCACACAUCCCCUUUAAAUUGAAAACUUUAAAGCACACUGGUUAUAAGGUUAUACUGAUACAGAUCAGAGUCUAGCAGUGAUUAAAUCGUCCUUCUCCAACCUGGAACUAAAAUAUAUUAAACCUGGAUGUAAUGUUAUCUGCAGAUAAAUGAAAUGAAACAUUAACCCCAGGUUUUCAGUUAUGCUUUCUGCCGUGGUGUGCUUCUUCUUUCUGUGUGUUGGAUCUCUUUUCCUCUUAAGUAGCGUUUUUACUUUUACUCACAUAAAACUUUUUUUCUUAUCAUACCUGCGUCUGUGUUUGGGUGCUCCAGCUUCCACAUUGUGACAGAGCAUCACUAGCAACACCAAAACAACCUUGACAGCUUUAAAAGAAGCAGUUAACAGAACAUGACGUAUUAGUAACCAAGUCAGCCAAUUAUGUCUCCCCGGAGAGGAGAGAUAACGUGUUAUUGUUCUUCCCAGGUUCGCUGCAGAGUUCACGAAGACCUUGAUCUGCCUCCUUGGCUUAUUAAGCUGCAUCACUGAAAAUCCCUUUCUCCUUCCCUCCUGUUCUUUGUGUUUCCAGAUCUGCUCCCUUUCUGUCAUUUCGACUCCACAGAGGGCGCAUCAGCCUCCAGCUUUUAUCAGAGGGGGUUGUUUGUUCUUCUGCUGUACCUGCAUGAAGAGAAGAACGUGCAACUUUAACUCAGGAACGUACCGCACCAGGUGAACACAGAGAUCCACAUGUGUUUAAGCAAUCCUCCAACUUAUCAUAGGUGUAAGAUUUCCUGCUUUUCGAAGCAAACACACGCACACACACGGCGAAGACUCCUCUCUGUCCAUCUGGAGACGAUUAGUGUUUCUCCAGCUCGCAGGAAGUCAGUCAUCAUUUCAGGCUGACAGGUACAUGGAAGAAUCUGACCGUCUCUCUCCGCUCCGAGGCGUCCCGUACAACCAUCAGCUCUGUGAUUCUUCACAGCUUUUUGGCAUUCGCUCUGAUCGUCUGGCGGGAUCAGCUGAAGGAAAUCACCUUGCUUUAUGGAGUCCAGACAGUGAACACAGAUCGUUUUGUUUUUUUAACCUGUAUUCAAAGCUGCCUGGGAAUCCCACUGUUUCAAAAUCAGCCAGAUCACAAUGUGCCAGUAAAACUUUUUUUUCCCCUGCCAACUCACUCGCUCUGUUUUCAUUACAAAUGUGCACAAAACCUUGUUGAUAUUCCAUUAAUGUCGAAAAAACACAGUUAAGCAACUGUGGUGUGCCCAUUAAAGGUGCAUUAUGUAACUUUUAUUUUUAAAAAAUCUAUUUUUUAAAUUUCAUUUGUUUAAACUGUCACUAUGUCAUGACCUUGCUAUCUAGGCUGUCUUCUCAUAGCACUGUAAAUCACAAUCUUGUAAGGCGCUGCUCCUCCUCCUUUUCCUCCCUCUUUGCUCAGUGAUACACUUUAUGUUGUGAAUGCUAAGGCUAGCAAUCAUGGAGACUAAUGACGCAGACAAUUGCUUUUCCUGUAACCUUAUGUUGUUUUCCCAUUAGUACAUUUAGCAGCGAGUACAUGUGGUUGAUUGACAGCACCAAGACCCUCCUCCUGGGUCUGAUUGGUUGUUUUUGGUCGUGCAUUUCUUCAGAUGACACUAGCAGUUCGUGGAGGAGGUAUCUCAUACUGUCACAACAUAUGACAUAUUUUAACAAAUAUGUAAAAAAAUAUUUUUAAUAAAAUUUACGUACUGCAGCUCUAAAUAACACAACCAAUUAAAAUCAUGUGAAUAAGUUUGUUUACGCAACACGUCAUUAAAAAACAUGCUUCAUCAUCAUCAUCCGCUUACCACUUCCUGUUGUCUUCUUUGUCUUUUUCGCCAGAAGUAACAUCACAUAAUUUGUGUGAUAUGAAAAAGUGUUUCUAUUGAACUACAUAAAAUGUGUGUAGUUCAAUAGAAACACUUUUUCAUAGCUGAAAAACCACCUCAUCAUAACUCAAAAACAUCAAAACGUGUUUCCGUUGGGUAAAUUUAUGUUUCAAAUUCCGAUUUUGGCAAAUAUAUUGUCAAAUGAAGCAGAGCUACUGUAGUGCUUGGUGUUUUUGGAACACAACUUUCCUUUGUUCCUCCAUGAUUCGCCUCUCAGAGGUAAAUAUUUAAACCAAGGCAAAGUUGUAACACAGUUUUUUAAUGACUGCAUACUGUACUCACGGUUUCCCUCUCUUUUUGUCAUGGGCUAGAUUAAAAAAAGAGCUGACAAUUCAUUUUCCUUCAAAUGCCAUUUUUAGGCUGUUCUAAGGUGAGAACAAUCACAAUUUCUCUUAUUUGAAAAAAUAUUUGAGUGCCUUAAAAGCAUUCGAAGUGCAAUUAUCUGGAAAUUAAAUAUGCCGUCAUGCUAUUAUCACAGUGAUUUCUUCUGCCUCUCUGCUUCUCCAUUCAUAAUUCAACCUUUUAUGCACUUCCCAUGUUGUAAGUGGUGCCAUGGCUCCUGCCAGGGCGGCCUCACGGAAACGUGCAGACAUGAAACAUUCUGCAGCCGUGGAGAGGAGAGGCUGAAGGAGCCGAUAAACUACUGGUGAAAGUGUUUGUAUUUCAGUGGUUUGCAUGUAGGCCAAAACUCAUGGUUAAAAACCAGGCCGUGCCAUCAUCUAUGUUCUUCUUUGUGGUUUUCACCAGUGGCAAAACCCGGUUGUUGGUCAUGUGACUCGUGUGACAAGAAAAAGUGUUUCCAUUGCAGUUUUUCAACCAAUUUCUUUACAGCCAAAAAACUACCUCAUCCUAGUGCCAAAUCUUUUUAUCACAAAAAAAUGGCACAUUUCCAUGAUUCAAAUUUAUUUUCGAAAUGUAAAAUUGUGCAAAUAUAGCAUUAAUGGAAAGGCAGCUACAGACAAGGGCUGCGUUUUUACUACAAAUGAGAUCAAAUCUUUGCCUAUAUCCUGCUAAUGUUGAAGAAACACCAUUUUGCUAUUGCAGUGUUUCCAUUAAAUAAGAAAUAAAAUUAAUGAAUAAGUUUGUUCACGUGAUAAGUCAUUAAAAAUUAUGGCAGCAGCAGAUGUAAACAGUUAUAUGAAAUAUAUUUAUAAUGCAGCCAAUCAGAAGAGACGUUGGUGUCCUAUUCAGGUGUUGGCGCAAAAAGCCUCUUAUCCUUGGGAACAGCUACGCUUGCGAUGCUUUGG